GACGAACGCUGGCGGCGUGCUUAACACAUGCAAGUCGAACGGUGAAGCGCUUUCCUUUUUGGUUGGUGUGGAUGAGUGGCGAACGGGUGAGUAACACGUGAGUAACCUGCCCCCUUCUUCUGGAUAACCGCAUGAAAGUGUGGCUAAUACGGGAUAUUCUGCGCCUGCUGCAUGGUGGGUGUGGGAAAGAUUGUGCCUUUGGGUGUUUUCGGUGGGGGGUGGGCUCGCGGCCUAUCAGCUUGUUGGUGGGGUGAUGGCCUACCAAGGCGGUGACGGGUAGCCGGCCUGAGAGGGUGGACGGUAACACUGGGACGGAGACACGGCCCAGACUCCUACGGGAGGCAGCAGUGGGGAAUAUUGCACAAUGGGCGCAAGCCUGAUGCAGCGACGCCGCGUGAGGGAGGGAGGCCUUCGGGUUGUGAACCUCUUUCGCCAGUGAAGCAGGCCUGCUCCUUGUGGGUGGGUUGACGGUAGCUGGAGAAGAAGCGCCGGCUAACUACGUG
rnacentral:rRNA from 1 species